rnacentral:sRNA from 1 species
CACUAAGUGGCCGUUCUGGGCCGCCAAUAAUUCCUCCUUCCCACUCCCACGCACUAAGUUUGUAACUUACCCCCUUAUGUUGGUAGGGGAAAAAUCAAGAUACAGGCUAGGUUAUUCGCGUCCCACGACAUUUUCUCCUUUGAGAAGUAUCCCAGAACAUGAUAAUCAUUGGCGUCUUGCGGGUUGGUGAAGACGAGGAUAUAGUAGAGGAAGGAGGAUACGUCGAAAAAAACGGAUUUGUGGUCCAGGAAG